AACGAACGCUGGCGGCAUGCCUAACACAUGCAAGUCGAACGAGACCUUCGGGUCUAGUGGCGCACGGGUGCGUAACGCGUGGGAACCUGCCCUUAGGUUCGGAAUAACUCCCCGAAAGGGGUGCUAAUACCGGAUAAUGUCUUCGGACCAAAGAUUUAUCGCCUUUGGAUGUGCCCGCGUUGGAUUAGCUAGUUGGUAGGGUAAAAGCCUACCAAGGCGACGAGCCAUAGCUGGUCUGAGAGGAUGAUCAGCCACACUGGGAAUGAGACACGGCCCAGACUCAAACGGGAGGCAGCAGUGGGGAAUAAUGGACAAUGGGAGAAAGCCUGAUCCAGCAAUGACGCGUGAGUGAUGAAGGCGUUAGGGUUGUAAAGCGCUUUUACCCGGGAUGAUAAUGACAGUACCGGGAGAAUAAGCGCCGGCUAACUCCGUG
rnacentral:rRNA from 1 species